CAGUUUUGAUUAUCCCUACAGUAUGAACUGAAUGCGACCCUGAAGUGACCCGCAUGCACAAAAGAGGUCCUGACGUAAUACGUGACCACACAGGCAAGCACUGUGUUUACGAAAGUAAAUAUGUUUUCCCCAUCACUCCUCCUCCUGGGACACAAUUGUGAUAUUUGUUGCAUUUUACUGACGUUAAGGUCGGAUAAAUGCAACCUGGCUUUUCAGACUGAAGUCACAUUGCAAAAUAUCAGAUACGAAUCAGAUUUAGGACCACAUAUCAAAGUAGCCUGGGUCGAAUUUGAAAAAA